ACCAGCGGAGGCUGCAAUGGGAUAGGUUCCGAAACAGCUAUGAGGGUUAAUAUAGGCUCUCCUGUACAAAACUCUUAUCCGGACAUCCCUGUUCGUGCAGAGUGGAAUCAUAUGUCACCACAUAUCAAAGCUUGGCUACACGGACUAGCUUUCAACCCAUCGGACGGUAGGUGCCUGAAAAUCGGAGUGAG
rnacentral:ribozyme from 1 species